rfam:Pseudomonas alkylphenolica strain KL28 chromosome, complete genome.
CUAGGCUCGCUCGGUCACUGAAUAUUCAGUGAUCGGGUUUGGCGACCCGGACA